UAUGGAGAGUUUGAUCCUGGCUCAGGACGAACGCUGGCGGCGUGCCUAAUACAUGCAAGUCGAGCGGGUUUAUCCUUCGGGAUAAGCUAGCGGCGGACGGGUGAGUAACACGUAGGUAACCUGCCUUUAAGACUGGGAUAACUAUCGGAAACGAUAGCUAAGACCGGAUAACUGGUUUUCUCGCAUGAGAGAAUCAUAAAACACGGAGCAAUCUGUGGCUUAAAGAUGGGCCUGCGGCGCAUUAGCUAGUUGGUGAGGUAACGGCUCACCAAGGCGACGAUGCGUAGCCGACCUGAGAGGGUGAACGGCCACACUGGGACUGAGACACGGCCCAGACUCCUACGGGAGGCAGCAGUAGGGAAUCUUCCGCAAUGGACGCAAGUCUGACGGAGCAACGCCGCGUGAGUGAUGAAGGUUUUCGGAUCGUAAAGCUCUGUUGCCCUAGACGAAC
rnacentral:rRNA from 1 species